rnacentral:lncRNA from 1 species
UAAACUGUUUUGUUUUACCUUGACAGGCUGGGUAAUAUUAUAUUAGCCAUGUCAUGUUGUCGAAAUUUUUAUUGAUUUGGUGGGUUAUUUGAUUAGCUUACUGCAGUGGGCGGGUUUCCGUGGACCAGCCUAUUAGAGGGGCACAGUAAAUCCCGUUAUAUUUUACCUUAGUACGAGAGGCACGAAGGGUAUCUCCUAAGGUAAGUUUAGAGUUCACUUCACGUCGAACCACCACGUGAGGAUGAAACUCAACCAACGCCAAGGAAUGGCUAUAUUUUAAAAGUAAAAACAUGUUUUAUGGGU